ACGGAGGGUGCAAGCGUUAUCCGGAUUCACUGGGUUUAAAGGGUGCGUAGGUGGGUUGGUAAGUCAGUGGUGAAAUCCCCGAGCUUAACUCGGGAACUGCCAUUGAUACUAUCAGUCUUGAAUACCGUGGAGGUCAGCGGAAUAUGUCAUGUAGUGGUGAAAUACUUAGAUAUGACACAGAACUCCGAUUGCGAAGGCAGCUCACUAAACUGUAACUGACGCUGAGGCACGAAAGCGUGGGGAUCAAACAGGA
rnacentral:rRNA from 1 species